rnacentral:rRNA from 1 species
UACGUAGGCAGCGAGCGUUGUUCGGAAUUACUGGGCGUAAAGAGUGUGUAGGCGGUGCUCUAAGUUCGGUGUGAAAUCUCCUGGCUCAACUGGGAGGGUGCGCCGGAAACUGGAGUGCUUGAGCGUGGGAGAGGAAAGCGGAAUUCCUGGUGUAGCGGUGAAAUGCGUAGAUAUCAGGAGGAACACCUGUGGUGGAGACGGCUUUCUGGACCAUAGCUGACGCUGAGACACGAAAGCGUGGGUAGCAAACAGG